AACGAACGCUGGCGGCAGGCUUAACACAUGCAAGUCGAGCGCCCCGCAAGGGGAGCGGCGGACGGGUGAGUAACGCGUGGGACUCUACCCAUCUCUACGGAAUAACGCAUGGAAACGUGUGCAAAUACCGUAUACGUCCUUCGGGAGAAAGAUUUAUCGGAGAUGGAUGAGCCCGCGUUGGAUUAGCUAGUUGGUGGGGUAAAGGCCUACCAAGGCGACGAUCCAUAGCUGGUCUGAGAGGAUGAUCAGCCACACUGGGACUGAGACACGGCCCAGACUCCUACGGGAGGCAGCAGUGGGGAAUAUUGGACAAUGGGCGCAAGCCUGAUCCAGCCAUGCCGCGUGAGUGAUGAAGGCCCUAGGGUUGUAAAGCUCUUUCACCGGUGAAGAUAAUGACGGUAACCGGAGAAGAAGCCCCGGCUAACUUCGUGCCAGCAGCCGCUGUAACAC
rnacentral:rRNA from 1 species